GGGUAGUUUGACUGGGGCGGUCUCCUCCCAAAGAGUAACGGAGGAGCACGAAGGUUGGCUAAGCAUGGUCGGACAUCAUGCGGUUAGUGCAAAGGCAUAAGCCAGCUUGACUGCGAGAGUGACGGCUCGAGCAGGUACGAAAGUAGGUCUUAGUGAUCCGGUGGUUCUGAAUGGAAGGGCCAUCGCUCAACGGAUAAAAGGUACUCCGGGGAUAACAGGCUGAUACCGCCCAAGAGUUCAUAUCGACGGCGGUGUUUGGCACCUCGAUGUCGGCUCAUCACAUCCUGGGGCUGAAGUAGGUCCCAAGGGUACGGCUGUUCGCCGUUUAAAGUGGUACGCGAGCUGGGUUUAGAACGUCGUGAGACAGUUCGGUCCCUAUCUGCCGUGGGCGUUGGAAGAUUGAAAGGGGCUGCUCCUAGUACGAGAGGACCGGAGUGGACGCACCACUGGUGUUCGGGUUGUCAUGCCAAUGGCAUUGCCCGGUAGCUAAGUGCGGAAGAGAUAACCGCUGAAAGCAUCUAAGCGGGAAACUUGCCUUGAGAUGAGUCUUCCCUGACUCUUUAAGGGUCCUAAAGGAACGUUUAAGACUAAGACGUUGAUAGGUUGGGUGUGUAAGCGUAGCGAUACGUUGAGCUAACCAAUACUAAUGAACCGUGAGGCUUAACCUGACAACACCGAAGGUGUUUUAG
rnacentral:rRNA from 1 species